UAGCUGUGGUGUAGGCCAGCAGCUGUAGUUCUGAUUCGACCCCUAGCCUGGGAACUUCCAUAUGCCUCAGGUGCAGCCCUAAAAAGACAAGGAAAAAAAAAAAAAGAGUCAAAACAAAACCAAAAAAUGAAAUCACAAACAUCCAUGCCAGUUUUUCUUUUUCUUUUCUCCUUUCCUUUUUUUUUUUUUUUGAUCUUUUUAGGGCCACACCUGUGGCAUAUGGAGGUUCUCAGGCUAGGGGAUGAAUCGAAGCUGCAGCCACCGGCCUACACCACAGCCACAGCAAAGCAGGAUCCGAGCUGUGUCUGUGACCUACACCACAGCUCACAGUGACACCGGAUCCUUAACCCACUGAAUGAGGCCAGGGAUGGAACCCAUGUCCUCAUGAACACUAGCCAGGUUUGCUAAUCACUAAGCCACAACGGGAAUUCCCAUGCCAGUCUUUCCCUAUGUUUCAGCUGCCAGAGGUUUAUUUAAAUGCUUUCUGGGGAUCUGCUGAGUGUCAGGUCCUGGAGAGAGUUGAGUGGGAUCCCUGAGACAAGAAUCCGAGUGCAGGUCUCAAGACUACCAACGGACAUUUAUGAGGCCGGUAGUCCCUGCUGUGCACAGCUACCUCUUCUGUUAUCUGAAGACCUAGCAUUGAUAGUGCGCUUGGUACUCCGUGAUGUGAUGGAUGGUGUCUGUGUUCCUACAAAGUAGUGCCUCUGAUGGAGAGAUGGCUUGAUUGGAAUGGCAGCGGUGGAGAGAGUGAGUAGACAGAUUUGAAUGGUGUUUGAUGGAAUAAAUUACUUAGAAGUGCCAGUUCUUCUGAAACUGCAGGGACGGCUGGGGAAGGAGUCUGUCAUUUUCAGCACUGCCGGCAAAGGGAGAGGAUGUGGGUGGGGAGGCUCUUGGGUUUGCAACUGAGUUUACCCCAGAUGAUUAAAUCAAGAUUUGAAAAGCUUCUCUUGGCUCUUACACAGAGCAAGCCUUGCUUGGGAGGUUUCUCGUACUUGAGAGUCAACUUUGGUUGACACCUCAACUUUGGUCUGUUAAAUUCCAAGUGGUUUCAGGCCUCCCUCAUCUGGAAACACUGAGUAAUAAAAAUAUUGUUAAUUACAAAUUAGGCCCAAGGAGUUCCCAUUGGGGCUCAGCGGGUUACGAAUCUGACUAGUAUCCAAGAGGAUGCGGGUUCAAUCCUUGGCCCUACUUGGUGGGUUAAGGAUCCAGCUAUGGUGUAGGUCACAGACACAGCUUGGAUCUGGUAUUGCUGUGGCUGUGGUGUAGGCUGGCAGCUGUAGCUCCAAUUCAACCCCUAGGUUGGGAACUUCCAUAUAUGGUGGGUGCAGCCCUAAAAAGCAAAAAAAAAAAAAAAAAAUUCUGCCCCAAAUAUCUUCCAUCAUUGUCACCCUACUCCAGCUCCUUUUUAACCAAGGGGUUACCAAGAAAGGAAAUUUUAAGAUAUAAGCCUUUUCUCUUUCUUUAUCUUUAGCAGCCUGUCCAACAAAUAGCAUUAAGUGUCAGGAAUAAAACACCUGGAUAAGUCCCAAGUUGUUUUUUAAAUUCUGAAUAAUUGGACCAAAGAUGAGAAAUCAGAAUCCGUAUCACAUGUAGGACUUCAUAGUAAAUUGUAAUAAACUGUAUAUGUACUAUUUGUCACCCAAAUUCUGACCUGAUCUGAUUCGCUUUCUCCCACCUCCUGAGUGCUUCAGAAAUGAUAGUUCAUGAAAGAUAUAAUUAACCCCAUUGACCAUUUUAGUCGUAAAUUACUUUCCCACUCCUGCACCAUAGCAGUUUUACUAAUAUUCCCAACUGACUCCAUUAUCUGAGUCUUAAGGCAGGUGCACAAUUUCAAAUGAUGAGCUAUUACUGCUUCCUGGACAGGGCAACCUCGUGUUACCUAUGGAUGCCUGAGAAAAUACAACCUAGGAAAGUACAGAAACCAUCUCCUGGGUAGAGCAAACUGGGCCACAUACCUGACCUCGAGCUCUGAGGGGGC
rnacentral:lncRNA from 9 species